rnacentral:rRNA from 1 species
UACGGAGGGUGCAAGCGUUAUCCGGAUUCACUGGGUUUAAAGGGUGCGUAGGUGGGCAAGUAAGUCAGUGGUGAAAUCUCCGGGCUUAACCCGGAAACUGCCAUUGAUACUAUUUGUCUUGAAUACUGUGGAGGUCAGCGGAAUAUGUCAUGUAGCGGUGAAAUGCUUAGAUAUGACAUAGAACACCAAUUGCGAAGGCAGCUUACUACAGGGAUAUUGACACUGAGGCACGAAAGCGUGGGAUCAAACAGG